UACGGAGGAUCCAAGCGUUAUCCGGAUUUAUUGGGUUUAAAGGGUGCGUAGGUGGCCUGUUAAGUCAGGGGUGAAAGACGGUAGCUCAACUAUCGCAGUGCCCUUGAUACUGAUGGGCUUGAAUGGACUAGAGGUAGGCGGAAUGUGACAAGUAGCGGUGAAAUGCAUAGAUAUUGUCAAGAACACCAAUUGCGAAGGCAGCUUACUAAAGUGUAACUGACGCUGAGGCACGAAAGUGCGGGGAUCAAACAGG
rnacentral:rRNA from 1 species